rnacentral:lncRNA from 1 species
CACAACAUUCCAGGAAUGUACUAUCAAAGUUCUAUCAAUAUUUGAAUGUCCUGGACAUUUAGGGAACAUUCGGUGAACAUCUGAUUAAAUUAUUCCUGGAAUGUUACCAUAAGACAUUCUGUGAACAUACUACCAAUGUUCCUAUAUGUUCAUUUUCAAAUUCACGGCGCAUGUAUUUGUGCAUGGUGCUUAGAGAGGGCAUCACGUGACUAAAAACGACCAAUGACCUCACUUCGGACUUCGGCGCUUCAGCCAUCUUGGCUUGGCAUGCAUCUUGGCCUUGGCCACCUUGCCGUGCGUGAUCGUUGUUUGUUUUUAUUUGUGCUUUUUAAGAAUAUUUUUUUAAUUCGGAUACUUUUAUAAUAACUUUAAUAGUAUUAUUAACAUAGUGCAUACAAUCAGUUGGAGUAGCAGAAGCAAUGUAGAUAAAAAAUCUGCAGGAAUAACGUUUCAAAGCUUUCCAGAAGAUCCUGCGAAGAAGGCAUGAAGUAUUGAUCAGAUUUGUUAAUAGAGCAGUAUGUUCAAAACAUUUUUUAGAAAAAGAUAUUGACAGAACUUCACUUUCAACUGUUCGUUUGAGAGACUGUGCUGUUCCAAUAGCUUAUAUCACACAGAAUCAGCUGAGAGAAGUGGUCUACAAAAAACCAGGAAGGAAAUGGAAUAUGUGGCUAUGAAAGGCAAAAGAAAGGUUUACAAAGCAAAUGUGACACAUUUUUUUAUAGGAAUAUCAGUAAAUUACAUUAAAAAAAUGUAUGAAAAGAUUUUUUGCAAUAAAAAUGUUUAUAUUUA